ensembl:lncRNA ATP6V0E2-AS1 ATP6V0E2 antisense RNA 1
CGGAGGCUCAGAGAGGGAGUGUAGGGGGAGGAUGUCAAUGGGAGGCCCCAGCCUGAGCCCUGAGCAGCUGGCCAGCCAGGAACUGGCAUGUGAGUGAGAGGCAUCCUAUUCUCCUGCUGCUCCAAAGACAAUGCCCGCUGAACAGGAUGGCAGGCCACAUCAGCAGUCCAUACAGAAGUGAGGCUGUCGUUUCUUCCCCUGGAGCACCAGUGAGGACAGGCCCCAGCUGGGAGCCAGGCAAGCUUUGUGAUGGUCUGAGGUCCAUGAAGGGAUUAAAACCAGGAACUGGCUCCUUCUCCAACCACUAAAGCCUCAUCUGGGCCCACAAGCCCUGGCUGUUCCCUGGAGCGUGACUGGAAGAUGUGAGCAGCUUUGUGCUGGAGCCCCAUUUCCAUGGUGCAUGCUGCUGCCAAACCAGAGAUCACUUGUAGACUUGAAAGGGAACAUGAGC